rnacentral:rRNA from 1 species
UAACCUGCCCAAGAGAUCGGGAUAACACCUGGAAACAGAUGCUAAUACCGGAUAACAACAGAUGAUGCCUAUCAACUGUUUAAAAGAUGGUUCUGCUAUCACUCUUGGAUGGACCUGCGGUGCAUUAGCUAGUUGGUAGGGUAACGGCCUACCAAGGCGAUGAUGCAUAGCCGAGUUAAGAGACUGAUCGGCCACAUUGGGACUGAGACACGGCCCAAACUCCUACGGGAGGCAGCAGUU